GCCUACUGCCAUUUUCCCUGCCAUGGUGGAAUUAUAAGCCCUAAAUAAACCCUUCCUUCUGUAAUUUGCCUUGGCCUUGGUGUUUAAUCACAGCAAUAGAAAAGUAAAUGAGACAAAUACAUAUAUACAUUGCAUAUGUGUAUGUACUGCCUGACAUAUCCGUGUAUCUCUCUGGAAGCUAGUGCCUGUACAGGGACAAUGCCAACCUACUAAUAGGGGAACUAGUUGGCUAAAAGCUAGGGAGACUUUAAAUUGAGUAUUUGUUUGGACCCUUUGAAUUUUAUACUGUAUGAUUAAAUUUGCUAAAGAAAAAAAAAUGGACUGGUGAGAUGGCUCGGCCGGUAAAGGAGCUUGCCACCAAUCCUAAUGACCCCGAGUUCGAUUCCUGGGACAGACACGGCAAAAGCAGAACUGACUGCUACAAAUUGUCCUGUGACUUCCUCAGGGAGCCAUGACAUGCGUAUAUACGUGCACAAGUAUACACACACAAAGGAAUAAAGGAAAAGAUAAAACCAAAACCAGUUACCUUUUCUGGAUCAAUCUUAUCAUAGAGUUUCAAGACAUACAGAACUCGGUCCUUGAUUCCGUCUAACGUCAGUGGGGGUGCGUCACUGUACUGGCGGCACAAAUGUGUGACUGUUCCAGGCACCUAGAACAAAGGCAGGAAAGAGAGACUGUCACUCUAUCCCAAAUGUCUUUACAUAAAUGCACACAACUACUGGUAUCUGUUUUAAAAUGUACACAAACAUUUUUUUUAUUUGGGAGAGGGAUCUACAUGUACCGCAGCACAUGACUGGAGGUCAGAGGUCAAGCGUGGGUGUCAGUUCUCGCCUUCCCUAGGACAUCCUGGGGAUUGAACUGAGGGGCAUGAGGAUUGGUGGCAGGUGCCUUGACCUGGUGCCUCCUCACUGCCUCCCUCCAGGUAUGGCUCACAAAGCUUCUUGAGCCCUACAGAACCCCACCAUCUCUCUCUCCAAUGUGGCCAUUACUGAAUACCGGGUCACACACUCUCCACUGUGGCCAUUACUGAAUACCGGAUCACACACUCUCCAAUGUGGCCAUUACUGAAUAUCGGAUCACACACUCUCCAACGUGGCCAUUACUGAAUACCGGAUCACACACUCUCCAACGUGGCCAUUACUGAAUACCGGAUCACACACUCUCCAAUGUGGACAUUACUGAAUACUGGAUCACACACUCUCCAAUGUGGACAUUACUGAAUACCGGGUCACACACUCUCCAAUGUGGACAUUACUGAAUACCGGAUCACACACUCUCCAAUGUGGACAUUACUGAAUACCCGGGUCACACACUCUCCAAUGUGGCCAUUACUGAAUACCCGGGUCACACACUCUCCAAUGUGGUCAUUACUGAAUACCGGGUCACAGGGCUCGGUCAACAGAGAAGCUCUAGCUUCAGAAUGGUUGUCGCUUGUCCUCAAAAUCAGGACUGGUCCCUCUAGCUUUGGACAUCAUCUUGUUCGGUAAGACUGUCACUAACAUAAAAUCAUCACAGAAAUGCUUAAGUUCCCUCAUGGCAAAUGUAGCAUGCCACAGCCUCUUCAUUGCACUGCCACCACAGGCAUGAGACAAAAGAACCCACCCUAACAGCUGGGAUGGUAUACAGAAGAUCUGAUUUGGCUUUGAUGGUAACUAGUCUCUGGCUAGAACAAAUGAAACCAGCCACCACCCCUAAGCCUCACAGCCCCAUGUAUUUCGCUGGCAGGUAAGAAUGCCCUACAGCCCACCAGACAUACAAACCUUUCUGAGUGUUCUUAUGAUGAAAUCCAACUAUUUCUGCUCUUAGGCUGCUGCUGCUUCUGUUUUAUACUCAGUUGGGUCCUGCAGCCUAGAUUUCACCUACCAAGUAUGGGAGAGCACUGUCUGUCUGGCAGGGCGUUUUAAGUUCUUAGUUUGCAGCUAAGCCUCUUCCACAGAAAAUGAGUCUGCUGCUGGGCUUUUAAUCCCAGACACUUGGGAGGGGAGGCAGGAGAAACAAGUUGAAAGCCAAGCUGAGCAAUUUACUGAUAACCUGUCUCAAAGUAAAGAGGGGCAGGGAGAGCAACUUGCUUAGCAUGUAUGAAACCCUGGGUUCAACACUGAAGGAGGAGGAAAAGGACAGCAAUAUGGAUCAGAGGGUAAAGGUGCUUGCCAAAACCAGGCUCCCUCGAGUUAUCCUCUGACCUGCACACACAUGCUCACACUAAACAAAUACGUGUGCGAGAGAGAAAGAGCUGGGUUUGCUUCUUGGCACUCAUGACCCUGAGUGUGUCUAUGAAAAAUGAUCUAAGAGCUGCUGUGGUGUCAAAUGUUGUAACCCUAACACUUGGGAGCCUGAGGUAGGACUUUCCAGAGUCCAGGCAAGCCUAUGUAUAGCAAGGACAUACGUAAGACUAAACCUAUGUACACGUCCUUAUCAAGAUAUACUUACCUUGCAGCAGACUCAUUUAAUCAGCAAACUAGAGAGAUUAGCUGAAGAGAUAGAGUAUAGAUGAUUUCCGAAUAAGUAGGCGGGGCACUUUUUUGUGUCUAAAUCCACUGAUCCUUUUAUACUAUGUAUCAGAGGCCUUCAAUAGGGACACAACACCAAUCCUACUCAUUACAAUGACCUAAAGAAGUCACAGAUAAGAUGAAGCAGACAAGAGGCUCAGUGGUUAAGAGCACUGACUGCUCUUCUGAAGGUCCUGCGUUCAAAUCCCAGCAACCACAUGGUGGCUCACAACCAUCUGUAAUGAGAUCUGACGCCCUCUUCUGGUGCAUCUGAAGACAGCUACAGUGUACUUAGAUAUAAUAAUAAAUAAAUCUUUAAAAAAAAGAUGAAGCAGACAGG
rnacentral:lncRNA from 1 species